GCCCCAUCAGGUAGUUGGUAGGGUAAUGGCCUACCAAGCCGACGACGGGUAGCGGGUCUGAGAGGAUGAUCCGCCCGAGUGGGACUGAGACACGGCCCACACACCUACGGGUGGCAGCAGUUGGGAAUCUUGCACAAUGGGGGAAACCCUGAUCCAGCACACCGCGUGGAGGAUGACGGAUUUCGGGUCUGUAAACUCCUUUUGCUAGGAAAGACUUAGGACGGUACCUAGCGAAUAAGCUCCGGCUAACUACGUGCCAGCAGCCGCGGUAAUU
rnacentral:rRNA from 1 species